UAAGUUGAUUUUAGGGGAGCUUCAUGAGUGCAAUUAUUGAACACAAAUCCUUAAAUGGUUCAAGAAGAACAUUUUGAUUCAGUUUCUGUAGGAGUUGAUGCUGAAAAGGGACAUAAAGACACCCUUAGAAUCAAGUUCCUGAGACCAAUGUAGAUUGUUGAUUGGUAGAGAUUUCAAACAUACCAUUGACACCCAUCAAGAAAGCGACAGAGCGAAGGUGAAUCAGCUAUUUGUAUUUCUGUUCUUAGAGCGAA